GGGGCAGUAGCUCAGCGGUUAGAGCAAUGUUAGUUUUGAAAUUACCUUUAAAAGGCCAAUUAAAACUUACUUCCGCCUGUCACGCCAUCGGUCGUGGGUUCGAACCCCACCUGCUCCA
rnacentral:tRNA from 1 species